rnacentral:rRNA from 1 species
UACGGAGGGUGCGAGCGUUGUCCGGAAUCACUGGGCGUAAAGGGCGCGUAGGCGGCCUGAUAAGUAGGGGGUGAAAUCCUGCGGCUUAACCGCAGGGCUGCCUUCUAAACUGUCGGGCUAGAGCACGGUAGAGGCAGAUGGAAUUCCCGGUGUAGCGGUGGAAUGCGUAGAGAUCCGGAAGAACACCGGUGGCGAAGGCGGCCUGCUGGGCAGUUGCUGACACUGAGGCGCGACAGCGUGGGGAGCAAACAGG